CACUCCUACGGGAGGCAGCAGUGGGGAAUUUUGGACAAUGGGCGAAAGCCUGAUCCAGCAAUGCCGCGUGAGUGAAGAAGGCCUUCGGGUUGUAAAGCUCUUUUGUCAGGGAAGAAACGGUGAGAGCUAAUAUCUUUUGCUAAUGACGGUACCUGAAGAAUAAGCACCGGCUAACUACGUGCCAGCAGCCGCGGUAAUACGUAGGGUGCAAGCGUUAAUCGGAAUUACUGGGCGUAAAGCGUGCGCAGGCGGUUUUGUAAGUCUGAUGUGAAAUCCCCGGGCUCAACCUGGGAAUUGCAUUGGAGACUGCAAGGCUAGAAUCUGGCAGAGGGGGGUAGAAUUCCACGUGUAGCAGUGAAAUGCGUAGAUAUGUGGAGGAACACCGAUGGCGAAGGCAGCCCCCUGGGUCAAGAUUGACGCUCAUGCACGAAAGCGUGGGGAGCAAACAGGAUUAGAAACCCGGGUAGUCCCAUGA
rnacentral:rRNA from 1 species